GACGAACGCUGGCGGCGUGCUUAACACAUGCAAGUCGAACGGAAAGGCCCUGCUUUUGUGGGGUGCUCGCGUGGCGAACGGGUGAGUAACAAGUGGGUAACCUGCCCUUGACUUUGGGAUAACUUCAGGAAACUGGGGCUAAUACCGGGUAGGAGCUCCUGCUGCAUGGUGGGGGUUGGAAAGUUUCGGCGGUUGGGGAUGGACUCGCGGCUUAUCAGCUUGUUGGUGGGGUAGUGGCUUACCAAGGCUUUGACGGGUAGCCGGCCUGAGAGGGUGACCGGCCACAUUGGGACUGAGAUACGGCCCAGACUCCUACGGGAGGCAGCAGUGGGGAAUAUUGCACAAUGGGCGGAAGCCUGAUGCAGCAACGCCGCGUGCGGGAUGACGGCCUUCGGGUUGUAAACCGCUUUCGCCUGUGACGAAGCGUGAGUGACGGUAAUGGGUAAAGAAGCACCGGCUAACUACGUG
rnacentral:rRNA from 1 species